rnacentral:lncRNA from 1 species
GAGUCUUCUUAAAAUUUGCCUCGUGAAAGCACUUUUUAUACCAUCCACCUACAAUUCAUACAAAUAUGAAAUAUGAGCAAAAUCUCAAUACUUAGCACAGUAAGUAGCCAAAAUUAGGACAGAAUAAUAGUGCAAAAUGUGCCCAACAAUUGCUCUAUCAUCUAUACCUACUCUUGUGGUUAUAAAUUUAGCUACAAAUUCAUUACCUUUAUGAAAUUACAGGAAAUGAAUCACUAAAUCCAUGAAGGCGUACCUCUACUUUCGUGAGUGUACUCCCUAGAUUUAGUACUUCUUGAACUAGUGUUAAAUUCCAAUUUUUAUUGAAGAAAUACCACCUUUAGUUAAUUACAAUUAAUGGUACCAAGUUAAUCAUGAUUUAGAGAAGCAAAAAUACUGAAUAACUUGCUUAAAGUAAUAGUAUCAAAUAGCCAAAAAAUUAACCCAAUACAAUUAUAGAAAUUUCAAUCAAAACCCAAGGCAUAAACUUUAGAAACACAUAAUAAAUAUAAAAUCCAAAAACUUGCAUAUUAACUAAAUUUAAAAUCAAUUACAAAAGAUAAAGAGUUGGGAAGGUAGAUUAACCCUUAUCACAUGAGCUCUCCUCUUGCCUUUUUCAUCCUCUAACUUCAUUUUCAUUUAGCUAACAUACAAGAAAGGAUAAACUAGUUAAAACUAAACUAUUUCCUACACUAUCUAAACUAAAGAGUUAAGAAACUAUAUUUUUGUGGUGUUCCUUCACUCUCUCUAACC